GCCGGGCAUGGUGGCACAUGCCUGUAAUCCCAGCUACUUGGGAGGCUGAGGCAGGAGAAUUGCUUGAAUCCGGGAGGCAGAGGUUGCAGUGAGCCAAGAUCGCGCCACUGCACUCCAGCCUGGGUGACAGAGCGAGAUUCCGUCUCAG
rnacentral:SRP_RNA from 2 species